GCGAACGGGUGAGUAACACGUAAGCAACCUACCCUAAAGACGAGGAUAACCAUUGGAAACAGUGGCUAAGACUGGAUAGGAAGAAAUAAGGCAUCUUUUUUCUUUUAAAAGACCUAGUGAUAGGUAUACUUUAGGAGGGGCUUGCGCCAUAUUAGUUAGUUGGUAGGGUAAUGGCCUACCAAGACGAUGAUGUGUAGCUGGACUGAGAGGUUGAACAGCCACAUUGGGACUGAGACACGGCCCAAACUCCUACGGGAGGCAGCAGUAGGGAAUUUUCGGCAAUGGAGGAAACUCUGACCGAGCAACGCCGCGUGAACGACGAAGUACUUUGGUAUGUAAAGUUCUUUUAUCAAGGAAGAAAAGCAAGUGGUGAACCAUUUGUUUGCCGGUACUUGAUGAAUAAGCCCCGGCUAAUUAUGUGCCAGCAGCCGCGGUAAGACAUAAGGGGCAAGUGUUAUCCGGAAUUAUUGGGCGUAAAGGGUGCGUAGGCGGUCUAGUAAGUCAGUGGUGUAAUGGCAACGCUCAACGUUGUCCGGCUAUUGAAACUGCUAAACUUGAGUUAGAUAGAGGCGAGUGGAAUUCCAUGUGUAGCGGUAAAAUGCGUAAAUAUAUGGAGGAACACCAGAGGCGUAGGCGGCUCGCUGGGUCUUAACUGACGCUGAGGCACGAAAGCGUGGGGAGCAAACAGGAUUAGAUACCCUGGUAGUCCACGCCGUAAACGAUGAGUACUAAGUGUCGGGUUAAACCGGUACUGAAGUUAACACAUUAAGUACUCCGCCUGAGUAGUACGUACGCAAGUAUGAAACUUAAAGGAAUUGACGGGACUCCGCACAAGCGGUGGAUCAUGUUGUUUAAUUCGAAGAUACCCGAAAAACCUUACCAGGUCUUGACAUGUUUUUGCGAAACGGUAGUAAUAUCGUGGAGGUUAUCAGAAACACAGGUGGUGCAUGGUUGUCGUCAGCUCGUGUCGUGAGAUGUUAGGUUAAGUCCUAAAACGAGCGAAACCCUUAUCGUUAGUUGCCAGCACGUUAUGGUGGGGACUUUAACGAGACUGCCAGUGAUAAAUUGGAGGAAGGUGAGGAUCACGUCAAAUCAGCAUGCCCCUUAUGACCUGGGCUACAAACGUGAUACAAUGGCUGUUACAAAGGGUAGCUGAAACGCAAGUUCUUGGCCAAUCCCCAAAAACAGUCUCAGUCCGGAUUGAAGUCUGCAACUCGACUUCAUGAAGUUGGAAUCGCUAGUAAUCGCGAAUCAGCAUGUCGCGGUGAAUACGUUCUCGGGGUUUGUACACACCGCCCGUCAAACCACGAAAGUUGGCAAUACCCCAAAACGGUAGCCUAACUCGUUUAUCGAGAGGGCGCUGUCUAAGGUAGGGUCGAUGAUUGGGGUUAAGUCGUAACAAGGUAUCCCUACCGGAAGGUGGGGAUG
rnacentral:rRNA from 1 species